rnacentral:misc_RNA from 1 species
CCGAGUUACAACUCCCAAACCCCUGUGAACAUACCACUUGUUGCCUCGGCGGAUCAGCCCGCUCCCGGUAAAACGGGACGGCCCGCCAGAGGACCCCUAAACUCUGUUUCUAUAUGUAACUUCUGAGUAAACCAUAAAUAAAUCA